rnacentral:rRNA from 1 species
UACGAAGGGGGCUAGCGUUGCUCGGAAUCACUGGGCGUAAAGCGCACGUAGGCGGCUUUCUAAGUCAGGGGUGAAAUCCUGGAGCUCAACUCCAGAACUGCCCUUGAUACUGGAAAGCUUGAGUUCGGGAGAGGUGAGUGGAACUGCGAGUGUAGAGGUGAAAUGCGUAGAUAUUCGCAAGAACACCAGUGGCGAAGGCGGCUCACUGGCCCGAUACUGACGCUGAGGUGCGAAAGCGUGGGGAGCAAACAGG